rnacentral:rRNA from 1 species
AAUACAUGCAAGUCGAGCGGAAUGAUGAAGAAGCUUGCUUCUUCUGAUUUUAGCGGCGGACGGGUGAGUAACACGUGGGCAACCUACCAUGUAGAUUGGGAUAACUCCGGGAAACCGGGGCUAAUACCGAAUAAUCCAUUUUGCUUCAUGGCGAGAUGUUGAAAGACGGUUUCGGCUGUCACUACAAGAUGGGCCCGCGGCGCAUUAGCUAGUUGGUAGGGUAAUGGCCUACCAAGGCGACGAUGCGUAGCCGACCUGAGAGGGUGAUCGGCCACACUGGGACUGAGACACGGCCCAGACUCCUACGGGAGGCAGCAGUAGGGAAUCUUCCACAAUGGACGAAAGUCUGAUGGAGCAACGCCGCGUGAGUGAAGAAGGUUUUCGGAUCGUAAAACUCUGUUGUAAGGGAAGAACACGUACGAGAGUAACUGCUCGUACCUUGACGGUACCUUAUUAGAAAGCCACGGCUAACUACGUG